AAUGGACCCAAAGCUUGAAGCCUGUGCCGGUGAUUGUUCGUUGCAGCCUGUGCCGGUGAUUGUUCGUUGCAGGUGCUGCGGCCGAGUGAAGCUACCCCACUUCUAUUGCUGCAGUGGAGAAAGAGGAAACCCAAGCGAGUCGAACUCAUAAAUGUUUUGUUUUCCUACUUUGCUCACUAUGCUACGUCUGAAAUCUGGACAUCGUAAUACCAAUGAAAUAAAUUGUCA